UAACAGUCCAUCUAUGGUUGCACAGAGGGAGGGGACAAGGAAACACACUCUCAAGUCCAUUUCCAGAUCUAGACCAGCCAGAGUCACAGGGAGCCUCGAGGAGAGAGGUUGGCCUCCUUCCCAAGAAGAUGACGUCAAAAAGCGUACUGCUCUUCGCAGUGGGAAAGGGGAGCCUGGCCUUGUUGGCCACAGGGUCUGCAGUGUGGGUCGCUGGGUUUGCAUUGGCUCUGGGCGUCGGCAUCGGUGGAUAUCUAUACUUCAAGAAGGAGAUGCAAAACAAGAAUAAAUUUCAUUGACAGGAAUCCUUUCCAAUCCCCUAGCCAGACAUGGAGGCCUGCCUUGCUGAAGAACUUUACGAAGCAACUUGCUAUACAUGGUUUAUAUUUUGAGUAUGAACAAAGUAUGGACAAAAUAAAAAUUAAUUGAAUACAUAUUUAUUGAGUGCAUACGGUGUGCCUGACUCUUUCAGAACCAGGCCCUGAAUCCCAGGAUUCUGGGUCCUUUGACACCCAGCGCCAACACCUCCAGCCCUGGGGCCUCCCCACACUCGAGCAGCCCCCACCUUGCCCUUCUGUUCCUGGACGAACACCUGGCCCUGCGUAGGUCUGGCCAGGAGUAGUGUGUGAGUUCUUGACUUCGUGCAGCAAAGAUUUCACAAAAUGAAUCCAGGACUACUCGACCUGG